rnacentral:lncRNA from 1 species
GGGCGCACAAAAGAGGAUAAGCUGGCGCAUGGUUAUUUGGUUAUCCAUUCAAAUUCAAAACCCCUUUGAAUUUGGAUGGGUAACAAACCAAGUUAAUCCAAAUAAUUGGUGCACAGAAAUAUGGGCGUGAGAGAGCUUUGCGUGGGAGAAAAUUCACAAGAAAAUUUUUUCUCGUGAAUUCAAAUGGGCGCAAGGAAGUUGGGUGGCGCAGGGAAUUUAAAAUAAGAUGGUUUGAUUCAAAUUGAGCCAACCUAAUAAAAUAGGUUAAGCACAAUUAGACCAGAUUAAACCUAACACAAUUAGGCUUAAUUAGGCUCAAUAAAAUCCUAAUCAAUUCAGUAAUUAACUAAGCCUAAUCCCUGAUCAAAUCAGGGACUAAACCACCUUAGCGAUUAGAUCAACACUUAACCUAAUCGGGUCAAUCCAAACUGAAUCCAAUUCAAUUGGACUUGAUCUAAAAAUAAUUACUCCAUCAAAUUGAGUUAAUUAGCGAUCAAAUCACUAAUUAAACCUCUCAUAUAUAUUGAGUCUAAAUCUGAUGGGCAAUUAGGCAUCAGAGACCAUCGAUAUGAAACCCUGAUCAAAGAGUUCAAAUUUCAAAUUCAAAAUUUGAAAUUCAAAAUUUUGACCCCGGUACCCAAAAUGUGUGGAACUCAUGAUCAGAGAAUCCUAAUUCUCAAUCAUAGAGUCUCAGACACAUAAGACUCAUAAUCAGCCAUCAGAUCAGAAAGGAACCUCUAAUGUGUGUGAUCCCGCAGG